rnacentral:rRNA from 1 species
AGUUUGAUCCUGGCUCAGACGAGCUGGCGGCAGGCUUAACACAUGCAAGUCGAACGGGCGUAGCAAUACGUCAGUGGCAGACGGUGAGUAACACGUGGGAACCUUCCUAGGGGUACGGAACAACUCAGGGAAACUUGAGCUAAUACCGUAUACGUCCGUGAGGAGAAAGAUUUAUCGCCCUUAGACGGGCCCGCGUCGGAUUAGCUAGUUGGUGGGGUAACGGCCUACCAAGGCGACGAUCCGUAGCUGAUCUGAGAGGAUGAUCAGCCACACUGGGACUGAGACACGGCCCAGACUCCUACGGGAGGCAGCAGUGGGGAAUCUUGGACAAUGGGCGCAAGCCUGAUCCAGCCAUGCCGCGUGAGUGAAGAAGGCCUUCGGGUUGUAAAGCUCUUUUGUCAGGGACGAUAAUGACGGUACCUGAAGAAUAAGCCCCGGCAAACUUCGUG